UACGAAGGGGGCUAGCGUUGUUCGGAAUUACUGGGCGUAAAGGGCGCGUAGGCGGUGUGUCAAGUCAGGCGUGAAAGCCCCGGGCUCAACCUCGGAACAGCGCUUGAGACUGGCACGCUCGAGUUCGGGAGAGGAUGGUGGAAUUCCCAGUGUAGAGGUGAAAUUCGUAGAUAUUGGGAAGAACACCGAUGGCGAAGGCAGCCAUCUGGACCGACACUGACGCUGAGGCGCGAAAGCGUGGGGAGCAAACAGG
rnacentral:rRNA from 1 species